CAAAUUCGAGUUGUUCACAUUGACAAGUGUGUGUGUGUGCUCCAAACUUUAGGAUUCAACACCAAGAAAUUCAGAUGAUUUAAUAAAUGCAAGUUUGUAAAUUUCGAAGAAAAAAGUCGCUUGAUAUCAAUGACGCGAUAUUUGUGACCAUGCCCCAGAAGUAUGCAGCAAUUCCAUGUGUUUUCUCUUCAAGUUUUUGUUUCAAAUGUUCAAACUUUUCCGUCCGUCAAGUGGUAUCAGAUCAAAAUGCAAAAACAGGUCUUAGUCGGUGUUCUGCUUCAAAAAAGCAAAGAAAUUACGGAAUUUUUGUUAUUUAGAAAUGUUAUUUCCAGGUUGGUUCGCUGAUUUCUCACUUUUCAAUCAGAAUUCAUGCUCGUCAAUAAAUAUGAUUCAUUUGCAAGUGCGUUGCUGAAGUUGCACCAAAAAGAAACAACCACAGAGCUUUCAUCCAUAAAAAGAGUUUUGAAUUUCAAAUUUUACUUCAGUAUUGAAUUGACAUCAAGUGAAUCAAGUUCGGUGCAAAGCAUGGAGGGAGCAGAAAAUAAACCAUUUACUCGGUACUGGCUACCGCGGGCUUACUACGAUUGUAGCAAGUGUAACCACAGCUGGUCAUGGAUCAUUCCUUACGCUGAACGCGAACAGGCCAAAAAAUGUCCACGUUGUCGAUCUGAUUGUGUCCCACGUCAUAUUCAUAUGAGACUUUAGAUGGUACACAAUUUCGUUCCCAAAUAGCGAUACAAAGAGAGAAAAAUGUGGACAUCUCAAAUACCACUCAAGACACAUUGUGGUCCAAAAAAUUUACAAAUGAAGACCAGUGCUGAAAGAACAUUUAUUUUCUCUUCAUUGUUCUUACUUGUCUCGAACGAAUAAAUUGUUUGAUUAACACAUUUAAUGGAAUAAUCAGCGAAAUUGUUUUGUUUUCAUUCAAAAAUCAUCGUUUCAUCUUUUUUAGAGUCAUGAAUAAUUUUUACCACCGCUUCAAGAGAAACAAUUUCAAUCCAUAUGCUGAGACAGGAU